ACGGAGGGUGCAAGCGUUAAUCGGAAUUACUGGGCGUAAAGCGCGCGUAGGCGGUUUGUUAAGUCAGAUGUGAAAUCCCCGGGCUCAACCUGGGAAUGGCAUUUGAGACUGGCAGGCUAGAGUGUGGUAGAGGUGAGUGGAAUUUCAGGUGUAGCGGUGAAAUGCGUAGAGAUCUGGAGGAACACCAGUGGCGAAGGCGACUCACUGGGCCAUUACUGACGCUGAGGUGCGAAAGCGUGGGUAGCAAACAG
rnacentral:rRNA from 1 species